GGCAGAGUAGGAGGAGCAGUCGUAGUCGGCCUCACCCUCCACCUCGCGCUUGUGGAAGCUCCUGUGGCAGUUGCAGGCGGCACAGCGGAGGGCAGCACUCGUGCCCUCUGCCCCUGAUGCUAGGAACUCUCUGCAACCAUCGACAGCAUAGCCUCCGAUGCUUGCAGCAUGGUUCUUCCUGCACUCCCGGUACUUCACCGGAGGUAGAGCCUUCUCGGCUUUCCUGGCCUCUGAGCCGUUGGAGACCUUCUUGGUGUCCUUCUGGGGCAUCAUGCUGUGCUGCUCCUCCAGUCCUGAAGUGGGUGGGAGGAGUAAGCUGGCAG
rnacentral:misc_RNA from 1 species